AGUGUAAUAACUUCCUAAGAACAAAGAUUCAAGAUUGGCAAAGCAUGUACCAGUCCACUCAUAUUCCCAUACCCAAGUUUACCCCUGUGGAUGAGUCUGUAACAUUUAUUGGUCGACUCUGCAGAGAAAUCCUGCGAAUCACAGACCCAAAAAUGACCUGUCACAUAGACCAGCUGAACACUUGGUAUGAUAUGAAAACUCAUCAGGAAGUGACCAGCAGCCGCCUCUUCUCAGAAAUCCAGACCACCUUGGGGACCUUUGGUCUAAAUGGCUUAGACAGGCUUCUGUGCUUUAUGAUUGUAAAAGAGUUACAGGUGAGCCUUUUGACUUUCAUGCCUGUUUUCUGCCACCCUGGGGGAGAGGC
rnacentral:sRNA from 1 species